rnacentral:rRNA from 1 species
GUUAAGCGACUAAGCGUACACGGUGGAUGCCCUGGCAGUCAGAGGCGAUGAAGGACGUGCUAAUCUGCGAUAAGCGUCGGUAAGGUGAUAUGAACCGUUAUAACCGGCGAUUUCCGAAUGGGGAAACCCAGUGUGUUUCGACACACUAUCAUUAACUGAAUCCAUAGGUUAAUGAGGCGAACCGGGGGAACUGAAACAUCUAAGUACCCCGAGGAAAAGAAAUCAACCGAGAUUCCCCCAGUAGCGGCGAGCGAACGGGGAGCAGCCCAGAGCCUGAAUCAGUGUGUGUGUUAGUGGAAGCGUCUGGAAAGGCGCGCGAUACAGGGUGACAGCCCCGUACACAAAAAUGCACAUGCUGUGAGCUCGAUGAGUAGGGCGGGACACGUGGUAUCCUGUCUGAAUAUGGGGGGACCAUCCUCCAAGGCUAAAUACUCCUGACUGACCGAUAGUGAACCAGUACCGUGAGGGAAAGGCGAAAAGAACCCCGGCGAGGGGAGUGAAAAAGAACCUGAAACCGUGUACGUACAAGCAGUGGGAGCACGCUUAGGCGUGUGACUGCGUACCUUUUGUAUAAUGGGUCAGCGACUUAUAUUCUGUAGCAAGGUUAACCGAAUAGGGGAGCCGAAGGGAAACCGAGUCUUAACUGGGCGUUAAGUUGCAGGGUAUAGACCCGAAACCCGGUGAUCUAGCCAUGGGCAGGUUGAAGGUUGGGUAACACUAACUGGAGGACCGAACCGACUAAUGUUGAAAAAUUAGCGGAUGACUUGUGGCUGGGGGUGAAAGGCCAAUCAAACCGGGAGAUAGCUGGUUCUCCCCGAAAGCUAUUUAGGUAGCGCCUCGUGAAUUCAUCUCCGGGGGUAGAGCACUGUUUCGGCAAGGGGGUCAUCCCGACUUACCAACCCGAUGCAAACUGCGAAUACCGGAGAAUGUUAUCACGGGAGACACACGGCGGGUGCUAACGUCCGUCGUGAAGAGGGAAACAACCCAGACCGCCAGCUAAGGUCCCAAAGUCAUGGUUAAGUGGGAAACGAUGUGGGAAGGCCCAGACAGCCAGGAUGUUGGCUUAGAAGCAGCCAUCAUUUAAAGAAAGCGUAAUAGCUCACUGGUCGAGUCGGCCUGCGCGGAAGAUGUAACGGGGCUAAACCAUGCACCGAAGCUGCGGCAGCGACGCUGAUGCGUUGUUGGGUAGGGGAGCGUUCUGUAAGCCUGUGAAGGUGUACUGUGAGGUAUGCUGGAGGUAUCAGAAGUGCGAAUGCUGACAUAAGUAACGAUAAAGCGGGUGAAAAGCCCGCUCGCCGGAAGACCAAGGGUUCCUGUCCAACGUUAAUCGGGGCAGGGUGAGUCGACCCCUAAGGCGAGGCCGAAAGGCGUAGUCGAUGGGAAACAGGUUAAUAUUCCUGUACUUGGUGUUACUGCGAAGGGGGGACGGAGAAGGCUAUGUUGGCCGGGCGACGGUUGUCCCGGUUUAAGCGUGUAGGCUGGUUUUCCAGGCAAAUCCGGAAAAUCAAGGCUGAGGCGUGAUGACGAGGCACUACGGUGCUGAAGCAACAAAUGCCCUGCUUCCAGGAAAAGCCUCUAAGCAUCAGGUAACAUCAAAUCGUACCCCAAACCGACACAGGUGGUCAGGUAGAGAAUACCAAGGCGCUUGAGAGAACUCGGGUGAAGGAACUAGGCAAAAUGGUGCCGUAACUUCGGGAGAAGGCACGCUGAUAUGUAGGUGAAGUCCCUUGCGGAUGGAGCUGAAAUCAGUCGAAGAUACCAGCUGGCUGCAACUGUUUAUUAAAAACACAGCACUGUGCAAACACGAAAGUGGACGUAUACGGUGUGACGCCUGCCCGGUGCCGGAAGGUUAAUUGAUGGGGUCAGCGCAAGCGAAGCUCUUGAUCGAAGCCCCGGUAAACGGCGGCCGUAACUAUAACGGUCCUAAGGUAGCGAAAUUCCUUGUCGGGUAAGUUCCGACCUGCACGAAUGGCGUAAUGAUGGCCAGGCUGUCUCCACCCGAGACUCAGUGAAAUUGAACUCGCUGUGAAGAUGCAGUGUACCCGCGGCAAGACGGAAAGACCCCGUGAACCUUUACUAUAGCUUGACACUGAACAUUGAGCCUUGAUGUGUAGGAUAGGUGGGAGGCUUUGAAGUGUGGACGCCAGUCUGCAUGGAGCCGACCUUGAAAUACCACCCUUUAAUGUUUGAUGUUCUAACGUUGACCCGUAAUCCGGGUUGCGGACAGUGUCUGGUGGGUAGUUUGACUGGGGCGGUCUCCUCCUAAAGAGUAACGGAGGAGCACGAAGGUUGGCUAAUCCUGGUCGGACAUCAGGAGGUUAGUGCAAUGGCAUAAGCCAGCUUGACUGCGAGCGUGACGGCGCGAGCAGGUGCGAAAGCAGGUCAUAGUGAUCCGGUGGUUCUGAAUGGAAGGGCCAUCGCUCAACGGAUAAAAGGUACUCCGGGGAUAACAGGCUGAUACCGCCCAAGAGUUCAUAUCGACGGCGGUGUUUGGCACCUCGAUGUCGGCUCAUCACAUCCUGGGGCUGAAGUAGGUCCCAAGGGUAUGGCUGUUCGCCAUUUAAAGUGGUACGCGAGCUGGGUUUAGAACGUCGUGAGACAGUUCGGUCCCUAUCUGCCGUGGGCGCUGGAGAACUGAGGGGGGCUGCUCCUAGUACGAGAGGACCGGAGUGGACGCAUCACUGGUGUUCGGGUUGUCAUGCCAAUGGCACUGCCCGGUAGCUAAAUGCGGAAGAGAUAAGUGCUGAAAGCAUCUAAGCACGAAACUUGCCCCGAGAUGAGUUCUCCCUGACUCCUUGAGAGUCCUGAAGGAACGUUGAAGACGACGACGUUGAUAGGCCGGGUGUGUAAGCGCAGCGAUGCGUUGAGCUAACCGGUACUAAUGAACCGUGAGGCUUAACCUU